AGGAUAUUAAUUUAACAAAAAUAUUUAAAUUGCAAUUAAAAAUUAAUAAAUCAAACAUUUUAUUAUAUCUUA
rnacentral:tRNA from 1 species